GUAUCCUACGGGAGGCAGCAGUAGGGAAUAUUGCUCAAUGGGGGAAACCCUGAAGCAGCAACGCCGCGUGAAGGAAGACGGUUCUCGGAUUGUAAACUUCUGUUCUUAGUGAAGAAAAAUGACGGUAGCUAAGGAGCAAGCCACGGCUAACUACGUGCCAGCAGCCGCGGUAAUACGUAGGUGGCAAGCGUUGUCCGGAAUUACUGGGUGUAAAGGGAGCGCAGGCGGGAAGCCAAGUCAGCUGUGAAAACUACGGGCUUAACUUGUAGCCUGCAGUUGAAACUGGUUUUCUUGAGUGAAGUAGA
rnacentral:rRNA from 1 species